rnacentral:rRNA from 1 species
AAUUGACGGGACCGCACAAGCGGUGGAUGAUGUGGUUUAAUUCGAUGCAACGCGAAAACCUUACCCACCUUUGACAUGUACGGAAUCCUUUAGAGAUAGAGGAGUGCUCGAAAGAGAGCCGUAACACAGGUGCUGCAUGGCUGUCGUCAGCUCGUGUCGUGAGAUGUUGGGUUAAGUCCCGCAACGAGCGCAACCCUUGUCAUUAGUUGCUACGAAAGGGCACUCUAAUGAGACUGCCGGUGACAAACCGGAGGAAGGUGGGGAUGACGUCAAGUCCUCAUGGCCCUUAUAGGUGGGGCUACACACGUCAUACAAUGGCUGGUACAAAGGGCUGCCAACCCGCGAGGGGGAGCCAAUCCCAUAAAGCCAGUCGUAGUCCGGAUCGCAGUCUGCAACUCGACUGCGUGAAGUCGGAAUCGCUAGUAAUCGUGGAUCAGCAUGUCACGGUGAAUACGUUCCCGGGUCUU